GGGAAGAGCCCAGCACCGAAGCCCGCGGUCGUAACCGUCGCGGGCAAUGUGGUGUUUGGGAGGGUCCGCUAUCCCGAUGCCGUGCGAUGCGUCCAAGUCCUUCUUGAACGGGGCCACUUACCCAUAGAGGGUGCCAGGCCCGUAGUGACUGUCGCCGGUAGCGGGAGGACUUCUCCUUAGAGUCGGGUUGCUUGAGAGUGCAGCCCUAAGUGGGUGGUAAACUCCAUCUAAGGCUAAAUAUAACCACGAGACCGAUAGCGAACAAGUACCGUGAGGGAAAGUUGAAAAGAACUUUGAAGAGAGAGUUCAAUAGUACGUGAAACCGUUCAGGGGUAAACCUGAGAAGCCCGAAAGUUCGAAUGGAGAGAUUCAGCGCGUCUCCGGUGUGGCGAGUCGUGGUGCUGCGACGGGUGCACUUGUGCGCUCGCGCUCGCUGCGUCCGAAUCCGCAUCGGAACGCGUGCACUUCUCUCCUAGUAGGACGUCGUGACCCGUUGGGUGUCUAUCUAAGGCCCGUGGUGGAGCCCGUUUCGAUUUAUCGUUGCGGACCCGCGGUGUCCCGAUUGACUCGCCCGACGGUUUGAAUGAGGCGCUGGACCGCGACCUGUUCGCGUUCGGAGCGUCGCAAGCACGGACGGUUAUCUGGCUGUCGGACCUAGCGCCGGCUCUGGAGCCGCUCGACUGUUGGCGGCGUCUUUCUCGAACCGUGUCCAAUGCGCGCCGGUCGACGACGCUAUUGCUUUGGGUACUUUCAGGACCCGUCUUGAAACACGGACCAAGGAGUCUAGCAUGUGCGCGAGUUACUGGGACUCGAUAAACCUAAAAGCACAAUGAAAGUAAAGGCACGCCUUGCGCGUGCCUAGGGAGGAUGGAUCGUGUCACGACACGGUCCCGCACUCCCGAGGCGUCUCGUGCUCAUUGCGAGCUGAGGCGCACUCAGAGCGUACACGCUGGGACCCGAAAGA
rnacentral:rRNA from 2 species